rnacentral:lncRNA from 1 species
GCCCAUCACAGGGGGUGAGCACUCAAAAAAUAUUUCUGAUUGGACGAACAGAAGGAGGAAUGACUCUUGAAGAUACAGAGUUGGAAGUUCUCCUAGGGGAAAAGUCAUAGUUUCUAUAUAUUUUCAAGGCUUCCUUCAAGGAUCCAGAGCCAACUUUGUAGCAUCAGAAAAAGCAGAAAAGAGCUCUGGACCUCAAGUGGUUGGCAGUUGGUGAAAAUCAUCACCAGGUCCUAACCCUGGUCUGCAGACUGGUCUCUGUAUCCUAAUUCCAUGAGUGCUUGUUAAAUAGCCCCCCGAUUCUGGGCCCAGCCUCAGAGACUGGGAUCAGCAGGUAUAAGAUGGGAAAGAGAUUCAAAUGCAGUGGAUCCACAGAACCAGCAUUUAGGAACCGCCAGAGCCUCCUCUCACUCUAAAUCUUAGGCUUGGAUAUGGUUUGAGAUGAGAAGAAAAAG